AUGAACGCUGGCGGCGUGCCUAAUACAUGCAAGUCGAGCGAACAGACGAGGAGCUUGCUCCUCUGACGUUAGCGGCGGACGGGUGAGUAACACGUGGAUAACCUACCUAUAAGACUGGGAUAACUUCGGGAAACCGGAGCUAAUACCGGAUAAUAUAUUGAACCGCAUGGUUCAAUAGUGAAAGACGGUUUUGCUGUCACUUAUAGAUGGAUCCGCGCCGCAUUAGCUAGUUGGUAAGGUAACGGCUUACCAAGGCAACGAAGCGUAGCCGACCUGAGAGGGUGAUCGGCCACACUGGAACUGAGACACGGUCCAGACUCCUACGGGAGGCAGCAGUAGGGAAUCUUCCGCAAUGGGCGAAAGCCUGACGGAGCAACGCCGCGUGAGUGAUGAAGGUCUUCGGAUCGUAAAACUCUGUUAUUAGGGAAGAACAAAUGUGUAAGUAACUAUGCACGUCUUGACGGUACCUAAUCAGAAAGCCACGGCUAACUACGUG
rnacentral:rRNA from 1 species